rnacentral:rRNA from 1 species
UACGAAGGGGGCUAGCGUUGCUCGGAAUCACUGGGCGUAAAGCGCACGUAGGCGGAUCUUUAAGUCAGGGGUGAAAUCCCAAGGCUCAACCUUGGAACUGCCUUUGAUACUGUCGAUCUGGAGUAUGGAAGAGGUGAGUGGAAUUCCGAGUGUAGAGGUGAAAUUCGUAGAUAUUCGGAGGAACACCAGUGGCGAAGGCGGCUCACUGGUCCAUUACUGACGCUGAGGUGCGAAAGCGUGGGGAGCAAACAGG